AGAAACUUAGGUUGACCUUAAACCAGAGGCCUUCAAAGCCUCAGACAGGGCUUACCACCCCUAGUUUCUG
rnacentral:tRNA from 1 species